rnacentral:pre_miRNA from 1 species
AUUGUACUCCCUCCGUCUUAAAAUUCUUGUCUUAGAUUCGUCUAGAUACGGAUGUAUCUAAUACUAAAACGUGACUUGAUACAUCCGUAUUUAGACAAAUCUAAGACAAGAAUUUUGGGACGGAGGGAGUAAUAC